UACAACUACAGGCAUUGAGAGAAUGGCUUUUAUUUUUUCUUAUAUACCGUUUAAAAAAGCAGAAUUCACCGUUGGAAAAAAGCAGAAUUCGCCUCUUUUAAAUGGGCGGAUUAUCUGAGAAAUUGUUAUGACCAUUGGGCAAACAGACUGGAGCAGGCCAGAGUGUGUAUGUUACAGGAGCAGCAGGAACAGUUCGCCAUCCAGGAGCAGGAGGGUUUGAUGCUUCAAGGCAUGUGAAGCUGCUAUUGGAACAGUUCGCAAUCCAGGGUACAGUAUAAGCAGUGGGAAGAAUAAGGAGGAGGAGAAAAGAAGCAGAAUUACACAUCACAACUGUCAAGAAUUAAACCAGGUGUGCUAAAGCAUAGAAGUCAUCUUCACCAUAUUUCAAACUCCUAGAAAGCCUUUAGCAAGUGUGGAAUGUGGCCACAACUUCAGGGGUAAGAAAUCUAAUCCACUUAGCUGAAGUCUAGUUAUUUUAAACUUUAACUUUAAGUUCAUGUAUAAUAAAAUAGAGUUCGUGCUCAUGUAAAUGCCAUGCCACUAAGACUAGAAUGGAGAAUAAGAGAUCUCAAUUGUUAUUGUGGUCAAGAAAAUUUUAGUUUUUGCACUUAGUUUACAUCUCCAGAUUUUGCCUUGCUUUCCUUUUUCUUGUUCUGUUUUGAGUUGUUACUGGAAAACAUACACUUCAUUGUCCACGUAUGUGUAUCCAAUCAAGAUUAAAUGAUCUUUUUUCUUGUAUUGCAUACCAUGUUCCACUAUACCAAGAACUUACCUCAACGCCCUCUUUGCUGCUUUCAAAUGAGAUACUUUAGGUUACUGCAUCAACCUUGAAAUGUAGUUGAUUCUGCAUGCACAGGGGAAAAAAUCCAAGGAAAAAUGUCACAUGCAAGCAGUAUUUUGAAUAUGUGCUAAGGGUAAACAUCACAUAAGUGAGCAACUCUGAGAAAGUGCACAAGUCAAUAACAAGCAGCAGAAUACAGGAGAAAACAUCAGGAAAAUAUCAGGGGUUUGAUCUUUGAAACAACAUUAGUAAAGAAGGAAAGUGAAUAAAUUAACUAAGCUUGUGAAGGCACACCUUCAACUCCUUUCCACCUGGCUGAAACAUUAACAAUGGGCACUUGGCAUCACCCAGCUAUCUAAAACUUCCAACUCAAAUCUGAAAAUGCUGAAGUCCUUCAAAAUUUGUGCCUUGUGUCCUUAAAUGUGGCUUAGUUAUCAUCGAGUUCAACCAAAAGAUAAACACCUAGUUCAAGCCUCAAAAGUGCAUGCUUGGGAUGGUUUUGAAAGAGUAAAAUUCAACUUAAAUAUUUUGAAGUGGUCAUAAAAUUCUUCCUAGCUAAGUUGUCACAAGUUCCUUCUGAAGUGAAAAACUGAAAUUAAAUGAUAAAAGAUCUUCAAGUCAAAAACUGGCAACAAAUGACUAAAAGUUCCUCCCCAGGUCAAAAAAGGUGGCAAUAAGUGAUGAAAGUUCCUCCUCCAAUAGCUCUGAUGGCACACAACCACCUCAUAUUCACCAUGGGAAUUACCUUGAUGCUCACUAAAACAUGGCCAAGUCAUCAAAAUUGUGCACCUAGCAUCUAUUAACUAGAGUAAGUGGUAGAAACUCAUUAAGAGCACACUUAACGGGGUUUCAAGAUCUAAAGUUCAUUCUUACUCAUUUCUUAUGGAUAUUAGUGUUUCAAACUUACUACAACAGGAUUUCCAUGUUGGCGUUUAAGUGCUCAAUAUAAGAUCUGUCACUAUUUAGAAUCUACUAUUUUUAAUUUUUUAAAGCAAGUUUGCAUGUUCAAGGAAUAACAAAGAGGGGUUCAAAGAUUCAAUUUAAUAUUUCCAGCAACCAUCUUCAAAAAGGUGUUUUUUCAAGGAUGCUUGCUUCUUUAGAUUUUAGGGCAAAAACAUGCCGCAGAAUCAGAAGGGUGUUCAUGGAUCAAUGUUUUCUAAUUUUAGCAAUGUUUAUUUCCAAGCAAAACUAAGAUCCUCUUAUAAGCUACUUUAUUUUUGUUAUUUGUUUAGAUUACAAUGUUCUUUUUUUUAAUCAAUAAGUUGCAACAACCACUGUCUCCAAGUGUAAUAUUCUCACGGGUUUAAGCUCAAAUUUUACACUACUCUGUAAUUCUGUCAAACAUUUCUACUCUGAAAUUUUGUCAAACAUUUUGGAUGUUUCCUUAAUUAUGUUUGCAAAUACUUUAUUGUCAUUACUAUCUUUGGAUGUAUAAAUUAGGGUCAUUAUUAUCAGUUCUUGGAUUGGUCCUCUUAAGAAAUUAGAUGAGAUAUUGCACUUACAAGUUUAAAUGCACCUAAACUUUUUGUGUUUUAAUUACAGGUUUAAAUGCAUCUAAACUUUUUGUGUUUUAAUUACAGGUUUAAAUGCAUCUAAACUUUUUGUGUUUCAGUUAUAAGUGUUCUUCUAGAAGAAUGCUACAUAGACUUAUAUUUUAGUUAUGUAGAUUGCUAUAAUUUUUCUCUUUUCUGUAGUGCAACACAGUAAUGUUUUCCCUAAUUAUUCAAGAUACUGAUGUAAAUUUUUUUUCAAAUUGGAAAAAAUGAAAUUGUAGGACAUUUGCAUUGCAAAGGUUAUUGCAUUGAAUUUUUAUGUUAGUUUUAUUUUAAUAAUAGCAUAUUUAAUUGUUGUAUAUUUUUAUUGAUAGAAUAAUUCAUAUUAAUUUAAAUUAUGAUUGAUGUUGUUCAAGUGUUUGACAAUGUAGUUCAGAAAUGUUUGGAAACUUAAGGAGUAUCUACUGAAGUCAAAUAAUAAUUGUAAUAUUCUAGGUUUUUAAAAAAUGUUAGGAAUGUUGUAAUGGACUGUAAUAUUCAAUAUUUAAUAUCUAAAAUUGGAUAGAAUGUUGCCUUUGAAUCAAUUGUUGAAAUGGAUCAACUUCGAAAUGUAAUUUGUAAAUUGAUAUGUAAACAAAUUUAUAGUAUGAUACAAAACUUUUAUUUGGAAGGGGUUGGAUGGCUCCCUUCCCAAGGCUAUGGGGAAUGG